rnacentral:rRNA from 1 species
UACGAAGGGGGCUAGCGUUGCUCGGAAUCACUGGGCGUAAAGGGUGCGUAGGCGGGUCUUUAAGUCGGGGGUGAAAUCCUGGAGCUCAACUCCAGAACUGCCCUUGAUACUGGCGGUCUCGAGUCCGGGAGAGGUGAGUGGAACUGCGAGUGUAGAGGUGAAAUUCGUAGAUAUUCGCAAGAACACCAGUGGCGAAGGCGGCUCACUGGCCCGGUACUGACGCUGAGGUGCGAAAGCGUGGGGAGCAAACAGGG